CGCACUCUUCGGAGUGAGCGGCGGACGGGUUAGUAACGCGUGGGAACGUGCCCUUCUCUAAGGAAUAGCCACUGGAAACGGUGAGUAAUACCUUAUACGCCCUUCGGGGGAAAGAUUUAUCGGAGAAGGAUCGGCCCGCGUUAGAUUAGAUAGUUGGUGGGGUAAUGGCCUACCAAGUCUACGAUCUAUAGCUGGUUUUAGAGGAUGAUCAGCAACACUGGGACUGAGACACGGCCCAGACUCCUACGGGAGGCAGCAGUGGGGAAUCUUGGACAAUGGGCGCAAGCCUGAUCCAGCCAUGCCGCGUGAGUGAUGAAGGCCUUAGGGUCGUAAAGCUCUUUCGCCAGAGAUGAUAAUGACAGUAUCUGGUAAAGAAACCCCGGCUAACUCCGUGCCAGCAGCCGCGGUAAUACGGAGGGGGUUAGCGUUGUUCGGAAUUACUGGGCGUAAAGCGCACGUAGGCGGAUCAGAAAGUAUAGGGUGAAAUCCCAGGGCUCAACCCUGGAACUGCCUUGUAAACUCCUGGUCUUGAGUUCGAGAGAGGUGAGUGGAAUUCCGAGUGUAGAGGUGAAAUUCGUAGAUAUUCGGAGGAACACCAGUGGCGAAGGCGGCUCACUGGCUCGAUACUGA
rnacentral:rRNA from 1 species